rnacentral:rRNA from 1 species
UAAGCGGAGGAAAAGAAACCAACAGGGAUUGCCUCAGUAACGGCGAGUGAAGCGGCAAAAGCUCAAAUUUGAAACCCUCGGGAUUGUAAUUUGAAGAUUUGGCAUUGGAGAAAGCUAACCCAAGUUGCUUGGAAUAGUACGUCAUAGAGGGUGACAACCCCGUCUGGCUAACCGUUCUCCAUGUAUUGCCUUAUCAAAGAGUCGAGUUGUUUGGGAAUGCAGCUCAAAGUGGGUGGUAAACUCCAUCUAAAGCUAAAUACUGGUGAGAGACCGAUAGCGAACAAGUACUGUGAAGGAAAGGUGAAAAGAACUUUGAAAAGAGAGUGAAAUAGUAUGUGAAAUUGUUGAUAGGGAAGGAAAUGAGUGGAGAGUGGCCGAGGUUUCAGCCGCCCCUCGUGGGCGGUGUACUGCCGACGCCGAGUCAUCGAUAGCGAGACGAGGGUUACAAAUGGGAGCGCCUUCGGGCGUUCUCCCCUAACCCUCCACACUGCCACCGACGACAUAAUCCACCCAUUUCACCCGUCUUGAACAACGGGAACCA